GUGUCAGCAGCCGCGGUAAUACGUAGGUGGCAAGCGUUGUCCGGAUUUAUUGGGCGUAAAGCGAACGCAGGCGGGAGAAUAAGUCAGCUGUGAAAGCCCUCAGCUUAACUGGGGAACUGCAGCUGAAACUAUUUUUCUUGAGUGCAGAAGAGGAGAGUGGAACUCCAUGUGUAGCGGUGGAAUGCGUAGAUAUAUGGAAGAACACCAGUGGCGAAGGCGGCCUUCUGGACAGAUACUGACGCUGAGAUGCGAAAGCGUGGGGAGCAAACAGGAUUAGAUACCCUGGUAGUCCACGCUGUAAACGAUGUCGAUUUGGAGUUUGUUGCCUAGAGUGAUGGGCUCCGAAGCUAACGCGAUAAAUCGACCGCCUGGGGAGUACGGCCGCAAGGUUAAAACUCAAAUAAAUUGACGG
rnacentral:rRNA from 1 species